UUUCAAACUCCCUUUCAAGGUGAACAUUUUCAAAGACCCAGUAGACUGGGGCAAGAUGAGCCACAAAGGGCAGACCCCUUUCAUGCUUCCAAACUUGUCAAACAAAUUCUGCCAUACGUCAAAAACUAUUGAGUUUAAGACAAGUGCCCGAAAAUCAUGCUAGCACGGUUCAUAAUCCUCCCAAAGGAUCCCAUUGGCUAAGUUGUGGCUGUCAAAGUUGAUAGAAUUCUCCUUUGACAACAUCUAUCACAAAAUAUUUG
rnacentral:lncRNA from 1 species